GAUCAUGGCUCAGAACGAACGCUGGCGGCAUGCCUAACACAUGCAAGUCGAACGAGACCUUCGGGUCUAGUGGCGCACGGGUGCGUAACGCGUGGGAAUCUGCCCUUGGGUUCGGAAUAACAGCGAGAAAUUGCUGCUAAUACCGGAUGAUGACGUAAGUCCAAAGAUUUAUCGCCCAAGGAUGAGCCCGCGUAGGAUUAGCUAGUUGGUGAGGUAAAGGCUCACCAAGGCGACGAUCUUUAGCUGGUCUGAGAGGAUGAUCAGCCACACUGGGACUGAGACACGGCCCAGACUCCUACGGGAGGCAGCAGUGGGAAUAUUGGACAAUGGGCGAAAGCCUGAUCCAGCAAUGCCGCGUGAGUGAUGAAGGCCCUAGGGUUGUAAAGCUCUUUUACCAGGGAUGAUAAUGACAGUACCUGGAGAAUAAGCUCCGGCUAACUCCGUG
rnacentral:rRNA from 1 species